AGCCCCGGGGCCUGUGCACAUCUCCGCGCACGUGCUCCCGGGGGCGGCGCGUCCGGGGGCCGGACACCGGCCCUGCUCUGACUCCGCGCUGGGCUUGCGGGAGCGGAGCUGCCUGCAGGGCUCCGGACACUCCAGUGCGCCAGCAGGGGCAGCAUGGUGGUGGGGUGAGAUGGAUCCCCCCGACGCUUGGGACCCCUACAGCCGGCCGGCCCGCCGGACCCAGUGGCUGGUCAGCGCCCUGGCGUAUCACUACGGGCUGGACCGGGGCGUGGAGAACGAGAUCAUCGUGCUGGCCACGGGCUUGGACCAGUACUUGCAGGAGAUCUUCCACCACCUGGACUGCGAGGCGGAAGGCACGAUCCCCGGCGAGGACUUCCGCACCCUCUGCCAGGUGCUGGGGCUGGCGGACCCGGAGGAGGCGGCGGCCGACCCGGAGGAGUGCGCCGGCCUGUGCGACGACCUGGCCCCGGAGCUGAGCUUCCGCCAGUUCCACGCCAAGCUCUGCGGCUACUUCAGCACCAAGGCCGGCUGCGCGCAGCAGCAGCGCCCGGCGCUGGGCAGGCUGCCGCUGGGCAAGGAGAGCGAGCACAUCGAGACCCAGAUCCGGCUGCGCAGCCCGCUGCGGCGGCGCCGGGCCAGGGCGGGCCAGGGGGCUGCUGCCGUCAAAAGCGGCGGCCCCCGCGGGGCUUCUCCUCCCCCGGCCGCCCCCGGGCUGGCCCCGCACGCCAGGCGGCCGGGCCCCUGCUCCAGGGAGUGCUACGAGGAGAUCGUGGCUCUGGAGCAGGCUGAAGACCGGAUCGUGAAGCUGGAGGAAGAGAACGGCAGCCUGCGGGAGCUGGUGGAGGACAUGCGGGCAGCGCUGCAGAGCAGCGACGCCAGGUGCCUCGCUCUGCAGGUAGGACUGUGGAAAAGCCAUGCUAAUCAUACGAAAGAUGGGACCUGUUUUAUAGGUAAUAGGAGACAGUUAACUCCCAAACACUCCCAGCCCACCAAGUGCCUUCAGAGUGUCCUAAAGGAGGUGGAACUAAUCCGGAAUUCCAGGGAUGGACAAAUUGAAGAAGCAAUUAGGGUCAAUCACGAACUGCAAAAAGAACUGAGGAGUUCCCAGGAAGCUAUAGUCACCCUGGAAGACUGCAACCAUAAUCUGAAGAGGGAACAGGCAGAAAUGAGGAAGAAAGUGGAAGAAGCUAGACAUGCAGUCCUUAACAGUCUUGGUAAAGUGAAGGAGUUAGAAGCAAAAGCCAAUAAAGUGCCACAUUUGCAGAUAUACAUCCAGCAGCUAGAAUCAGAACUACAGUACUAUAGGUCAGAGGUUCUGAAGCUUCAGCUUCCUUCAAGAGGCAGCACAAAGCAAAAAGAAGGAGCAGCACUACUGGAUGGAAGACACUGUUUAUCUGCUGUGCAACUGGAUCGAAGCUCACCCACUGGGGGAGCAGGGAUGUCAGAGAAUGUGGAAGAUCAGAUGUUCCGUUCUGUGGAGGGCCAGGCUGCCUCAGAUGAAGAGGAGGAGAAGUGGAUAGGGGACCAGCAAUCCCAGGUGGCUGAAUUGAAGAAACUUCUGGACAGGGUUCCCUGUUGUGGAAGUGGAUGUGAUGACAAAAUGGUGAAGAAACUGAUGUCUUAUUUUGGGAGUGCCAAUAAUGAUGACCAUGAGAAUGCCACUGUGGAGCUAGCAGAGAGAAUCACCAUGUUAACUGAACAGCUUGAGAUGAAAGGGAACGAAGUGAAAAAACUGGAAACAAACAUGAAGGAGAUGAAAGGCCCAUUGCUAGGUGAACUGCAACAAAAGGUGGAGGAGACUGAAUUGUUGAAGAUGGAGCUACAGAUGUUGGAGACUGAGAGAGUUAGGCUGUCACUGGUGGAAGAAAAGCUCAUGGAUGUUUUACAGCUUCUUCAACAACUUCAAGACCUGAACAUAUCUAAGCGAGCCUUGGGGAAAAUCUUGCUGAGCACUUUGGAAUCCUGUCGUGACCCCCAACAUGGAAAAGCCCACAUUCUUGAGGUCCUAGAUACUCUCUACCAUGAGCUGGCUGCCUGUGAACUCCUACAAAGCGAGCCUCUAGAAAAAGCUCAAAGUCACCAGUCCUUGUCUAACCCACUGGUUAUCUCUUGUUGAGCAACAGUGCCAUCUACAGUUCGUCAUGAUUAGUCAAGUAUCUAAAAUCUUACCAUGUUAAACAGAGGGUGGAAGAAUGAGUUUGCCAGAUUUGGAGGAGUUCAAUAAUAAAGGGACAAGUUAGGACAACUAAGCCAUGAAAUCACAGGUAUACUGCUCUGGGAAGACCUCUAAUUCCUCAGCUAACUUCGCAGCUGUCCUCUAUAAGUGUUCACAUUUCAUGAGACUUACUUAAUGAUGUCCAUCUCUGAAGCCUGACAACCACCACAUUAUGGCAUUGUAACUGUACCAGUUCACCAAAUGAAAAGUAUUACAAAUGCACUGAUCAGCUCAAUAGAGGAAAACCCCAAACUGAAUAGCUGAUUGUCGAUUAGCUAGAGAUUUUUCCUCUUCUGAUAGCUGAACCAGUACAUUCAAUAGUGGAAGACAGACUAACUGGCUGACACAUGUUGCUUUCUUAAAGUACAAGAGACAAAAUUGCUGUGUUAUAAAGAUAUAUGCACACCAGUAUAUGCCAGUAGGGCAAGUUAAAGACCCAUGUAUAAAUGUAUGUGUUUGUGAUUGUGAUUAUAUAUCUUAUUUAACUCUAGAGAUACAUUUAUGUUUCUGUUCAUGCGGAUUUUGUACACCUCUACCCUGCUAUAACACGGUCCUCGGGUGACAAAAAAAUCUCACCGCGUUAUAGUAAACUGCUUGGAAAAAAGUGAAGAAUGAUCUUGUUCCCCAAGUUGCCAGGAACUGGGAAGGCUACAGAGAUAGGGAGUGAAAGGAAGAAAGCUUCAUAUUACUCUUUCCCCAACCAACUGGCAAAUGAUAUACAUAUAAGACAUUCCCAUCCCAUAUAGUCUAAGUGAGAUUGUAAAGAUACAAAGCAAGGCCUCAUUUGCAGGCAAAGGGCUUGAUGGAAGUAAAAUGCUGGACAUGCUCAUGAAAGCAUAUAUUCUGGUCAGUAAUAAGCAGGGCCGGCUCCAGGUUUUUCACCGCCCCAAGCAAAAAAA